GGCGACGAUCAGUAGCUGGUCUGAGAGGACGACCAGCCACACUGGGACUGAGACACGGCCCAGACUCCUACGGGAGGCAGCAGUGGGGAAUUUUGGACAAUGGGGGCAACCCUGAUCCAGCAAUGCCGCGUGAGUGAAGAAGGCCUUCGGGUUGUAAAGCUCUUUUGUCAGGGAAGAAACGGUGGUAGCUAAUAUCUACUACUAAUGACGGUACCUGAAGAAUAAGCACCGGCUAACUACGUGCCAGCAGCCGCGGUAAUACGUAGGGUGCAAGCGUUAAUCGGAAUUACUGGGCGUAAAGCGUGCGCAGGCGGUUGUGUAAGACAGAUGUGAAAUCCCCGGGCUCAACCUGGGAAUUGCAUUUGUGACUGCACGGCUAGAGUGUGUCAGAGGGGGGUAGAAUUCCACGUGUAGCAGUGA
rnacentral:rRNA from 4 species